rnacentral:lncRNA from 1 species
GGAGAUGUGUAUCCAAAGCUGUACGAGGAGGCAUGGAAGGAUCCAUUGAAUGAUUCCGUCGUACCAGAUGGCUUUCAAGAGUAUAUUCGACCAAUGCUAAAGCAACAACUUCGUAACGCUAGACUCUAAGUGUGUGUUUGCUUGUGUGGUUGACUCGUACCUUGUGAGAAUUGAUUUUGGAACCAAAAAACUAAAGCAAACACUAGAAAUAAGUUUUAUAGCUAGACUGCCGAUAUCACGGAAAUUUAUAUAGCCUUUCGAUUUAAGGACAGGUAAAGAAGUUUAUGGAAGAAGAAAUAAAAUGUUUUAGUACAUACAAAUAGAAAUUCUCAAGCAAAGUUUGUUUCCUCAUGAUAUGACUAUUCAUGAGGAAAGCUAGCGAUUUGUUGCAUUUGGAACAUUAUUUGUUACAUUAUUGAUAGCAUAUAGAGGCAAAUCUCAUAAUUUAGUUUCAGAAAUUUGUCUUGCCACACGUUUAGGUGCGUUGUACGUCAUAACAUGUAUUCCCUGUGAUACGUUUAGUUUGGUGAAAUGGUAACAAUUUCAAUCAUGGUAAUCAACUGAAGCAUUGUCCGAUAGCAAGUGCUUAAAUAGGGCAUUACUAUGAUCAUCCCAUUUUGCAAUUAUGUUUGCAAAAGAUUAGAAAUCAAUAAAAAAAAACUACAUUUUAGGGAAUAAAAACACAAGUACUUUCUAUUUUACUUGUGAUUAUGAUGUGAAGUAGCUUGCAUGUUGGAAUUUGAUGGGAAUGUUACUAUGUUGGAUGGUACAGUAAAAUCCAUCGGCUAAGCGAUCUCAACUUGCAAAAUGCAAUUUGGUUACGACACCGAUCCUAAGCCGUUGCAAAUUUUUUUUUGUUUCUUUCAUAUGAACUUAAAUUAUGUGUCAAUCUUUUGAGUGUAUAAGUACACCAAAUUGAAAGCGGGCCCAUAUAAUUCAGCGUUUUCUUUUUUGAACUAUAAUUCAGCGUUUUCUACAAGAAUUUUAAGUGGUUAAAAAAAUAGUGCAAAAAAUGGUGUUAUUAGCAUUUUUCAACUAAAUCCGCUCAUAAUAAAAAAGUAUAAAGAUCAAUGUCAGUCUGACUAAUGAUAAAGCUAAAUCUCACAAAAUCGCUAUGCAAAAAGAACACAUUCUUCUUUCAAAAAAAAAAUAAAUUGCCUUUUAAGAAUAGCAAAAGAAGACAAGCAAAAAGAAAGAAGGUUAUAUUCUUACUUGGUCAGCAUGUUCGAAGAAUUUGAUACUCAGUGAUAUCUGUUGUGGUUGUGAUGUGAUCGACCCACUUCACCCAUUCUAUUCAAAUUGAUUAAAAUAAUAUGGGUUUUGUCUAAAUUAUAAAAGAGUGUAGUUUAACUUCAUUCUAAAUUUCUAAUAGACCAAAAGACCAUUUAUAAAAAAUAAAGAAAUAAAUACGAAAAUUUUCACCGACUUAUCUUUAAUUCUAUUAAGGUGCUUGUUGUGGUACUUAAUUCAGGUCAACUCUAAAUGAGUUAGCAUAGUGUUUACACUGAAUUUUGGUAAACAAAUAUCCUCUUAGUUCGACUAAAGGAAGUUUAGAUUCAGGGUCCUUUUGGGAAAACGCUUUGCCAAAGUGUUGUGUGUGAGUGAGUGUUUUUUCGACAACAACAAACAAUUCAGGUGAAACUAGAUUUCAUUAAACAUGGGUCAAUUACAAAGAAGUCAAAUGAAUCAAAGUAACACGAAGACUAUGAGAAACGUAGAAUUUUGACAAGAAACUGCACAAAAGAACUGGAAAUUGACAAGCUGAAAUGCAAGAAAACUAAAAUGCUGGUUCUGCAACGUACUCCUCCAUCAUCACGUCUUGCUCCUUGAGUCUCAUUGAUGCGGACAUUAGAGCUCUCUAGUGAAUUUUUCAGAGUUUGAGUUGGGAACCCUUUUUCUGAAUUGGAUUCUCCUAUUUAUAGAGCUUCAUGUUCCGCGUGUCCUUGACGGUUUUCCUCCUCAAUGGAUGGGUUAGUGGGUCUGGUUUCUCCCACGAUCUGAUGCUUGCUCCGGAAGUUCCACGCAUAGUGGCGGACGUCGNNNNNNNNNNNNNNNCGCUGCCUCCUUAACUUGGUGCAUUUUCUUUUUCUUUCUUUAGUCCAAAUUCGACUACCUUGAGUGUUUUGGGCCGGAUGCAUUUUUUCCUUGGGCCAAAAUAUUGGGCCAACAGAUGCCCCCCAAAAAUGUUGAUUCUCGACUACCAGUCCUUGGAGGGAUCAAGCAUUUUUUGCCCGUGCAUUUCGAUGGAGCUUGACGGCUGAUUGCUGCUUUUACCCUUCUUAUUUCAAGGCCCUUCAGGAAUUUACAUGUGCCUGUAUUUAGCAGUAAUUGCUAGUGUUGAAUUCGGUUGCCUCCUUAAUAGAGUGACAAACCACAUCUUAACACUUAUUUUUGUGCCAGUUUUUUACCCCCACAAAAUGAGAAGUAGAAGAAAAAACCGCAACAAAACUAAUUAUUUGAGAGUGGUCUAUAGUGCUUAAUGAUUUGUCUCUCUUUUUCGUAUUUUUUUCUUCACAAGUGAUUAUUUAUACAUUUUAUCGGACACCCUACAAAUAUAUAAUUUAACGACGGUUUUAAACAUCUAUAAACACCCCUCCAAAAUAGUGGUACGUCCGCAGAUCAUUUUCGCAUAAUCAUAUUUCUCACAUUCCAUAAUGGUGUUAUCUGUAUGUGUGUCUAUUGAAGAGUAUAACACCACACCAAUGUGACAAAAAAUGCAACUUUUUUCUCUUUUCCGGUUGGACCCAUAUCUUUAAUAUGUGAAAGAAUUAUAAGUACUCCAAGCUCAACCUACUUCUCCUCACCACAAUUUCCCCUUCACCUCACCACAAUAAUUCUUCCCCUUCCCUCUUUCAAUGGACAAGGAAGAAUCUGUCCUUCCAGACAGUGAACUUCAACCAGCAACUACCUCCUUGUCUCUCACCAUUAUUGCCACCACUUCCUCUUCUUCCUCCUCCGCAGAAGAAGUCACAAACAUGGUGAAGAAGAACAAGAAUGAGAAGAAGGGUGUGAAGAGAAGCAACGAUGGGAAGCACCCAACUUACAGAGGAGUGCGCAUGCGUCAAUGGGGCAAAUGGGUGUCAGAAAUCAGAGAGCCGAGAAAGAAGUCCAGAAUUUGGCUCGGCACUUUUCCCACGCCGGACAUGGCAGCUCGAGCACAUGACGUGGCGGCUCUCACCAUUAAAGGCAGCGGAGCUUACCUCAAUUUCCCUGAAUUGGCGGCCGAGCUGCCGCGCCCGGCCUCUACUUCCCCGAAGGACAUCCAAGUGGCGGCCGCCCAAGGAGGCGCCCCCGAUUUCACCCCGCACCCGGGGAGCGGAGGCGAAGCCGCGAGCACCUCCUCCUNCUUCCUCCUCGAGUCACAAUCACAAGCAAGGAUCAUCAUUGUUGAAGGGUGAGGAUGAGAUGUUUUUGGACCUUCCUGAUCUCUCACUUGAUCACUUGAAUCAUAAUGCUGAUGAGGGGUUUUAUUAUUACUCCUCUGCUUGGCUUGUAGACUCUGGUUUUCACCUUGAAGUUGAAGAGCCAUUUCCAUGGGAGGAAUCAUAUUAAUAUGCACCCAAUUUCCCUUUUUGCAGCUUGUGCUAUACCACUCUUUUUAUUCUCUUUCUACUUUCUUCCUUUCACCUUUUGGGCUUAUGUCUAUAUCUAGAGCCUUGAAUUGAAGCCCUAUGGUAUCUAGUGUCUACUAUGAGUGCCACUUCACUAUUUCAGUGAUAGCAUUAGAAACUCCUUUACACCACUUGAUUCUGGAGAAGUUAAAUGCCUUUUGGAUUGACAUAAAAUUAUAGUGGAUAGAAACAACUUCUUUUAAUUUUUUGCAAUUGUUUAAUUUAUGUACAUUAUAAUUUUAACUGCAUCGUGAUUUUUUAUAGUGUAUCCAAACAUGUACCAAGUAGCUUCUAUAUCUUAGAAUUGAUUCCUAGAGAAAUUGAUGGAAACAUUUUAUAAAUCAAGUGCAUGGAGUGAGUUUUUUUUUUGUGUGCAAGAAUUUGCGUAAGUAUUUUAACACCACAGAAAAAUGCAUUCCAGAUAAGGUAAUUGAGUUGCCCUGCAUCACCUUUCUCAGUUUAUUUAACUUCCUCAUCUUUUUCUGUCAUCUGUAUAUUCUCCCCUGUUUGCCAAAUUUCAGUUGAAUUAUGUAAAUGAGAGUGUGGAAUUAAUAAAAUCCAGCUGAAUAUCUUUAUUUAUUAAUUUAGUUACUGUUUCCCUGCAGGCUUAUUUAGAAUAGAAUAUUGUAGUUUGGUGGCUACAUUUUGUGAUCCAUUUUAAUUAUGUCCUGAUUUUGUUGGCAGUUCUUUUAAAUUUAGUGUUUAUUAGAUUAUUGUAUUGGUUUUGAAUUAAUUAAGCUCACCUGCUUUCUAAUUAAUCAUUUAAUUUGACCUGAAACUGCCAGGUAAGAGAGACACAUCAUGAGGUGAUGAUACAUUAGCAAUUUACCAUGACUUGUUACUUGUUUAAAAAAAAAACCAUGACAUCUUGUUACUUGAAUUUAACCUUUUCUUUUGGCUGCUAUAACUUGAACUAGAUACCAAAGGUAACGUUGCAGCUAAAGGAGUGUGGAAUGGUAGAAUAUCUUUUUCUUCUUACCAGGAUAAAGAUACAAAUCACGUUGCUAAUACUUUAUUAACGCACACAAAAAGCUUAUAUAAUUCAAUAUGCUUUCUUUUAAAAUGGGUAAAAUCAACUAACACCGCACUACAUCUUGUUUAGUACACUAAGUCACUAACACAAACAUGUAUAUAAUGUGUUAUUUAAAGACAAUUAAAUAUUUUUUAAAGAAAAUACAAUUAAAUAUUAACCUCAAGAUCCCCAAUUCACCUUUUUAUUAUUAGAAGAAUAGGAGCCGCAAGUAUCGAACACUCAAAAGCUUAAACUAUUACUUAUUGGAUAAGGACCAUAUGAAUUAUUUAUAUUAUUAUUUUAUUAGACCUCACACACAACAAAUUCAUUUUCGUAUGCAUGCAACACUUAAGAAUUGAACCUUAAACUAUAAAUGUUUAAGGAGUCUAACCAUCUAUCAGUUGUGUUAAACCUUGUCGGUAAUGUCUUCUUUAAAUAAUAUCAUCCACUAUUUAGAAAAUUAGUCUGAGCUUUUGCACUCGUUCGACCACCACCCACAUCAUGCGGUUGGGAGAGAUUUUCACCAUCAGAGGAGACAUCCAUCUUUCAAUUCAUACUAUAAUAUAAUAUACGUAAUCUAUCAUUAAGAAAAGGUAAAAGAAAUCAUUAUAUUUCUAUAGUAAUCUGUAUGUAAAAUAUAAGAAAGUAACUUAUUGUUUGCAUGAACAUCGAUUGAACAAUAUGCUUCUUCUUGUGCUCUCAGUGAGAGAAAGAGGACGAUUGAACAGUAUGCUUCCAAAUCUCAACUCGUUCCGUCUACAAUUUCAAUUUUCUUCCCGAAAAAAUCAACAUUGUACGUUAACUUCGAUCUUUAUUUCUGCAGCUCUGAAGCUCUAUUCCCUUAAACUCGAUUUUGUUGCCAUUUUUUGGUUAUUCUUGUGCUCUCGGUGAGUGAAGAGGACUAUUGAACGGUAUGCUUCCAAAUCUGAACUCGCUCCAUCUACAAUUUCAAUUUUUGUUCCCUAAAAAUCAACAUUGUAUGUUAUCUUCGAUCUUCAUUUUUCCAGAUCUGAAGUGGUUUACUUAGCUGGAUCUGCUAGCUAUUUUUGGUUUUCUGGUGUUCUCCCUUGAACGAGUGAGUAGCUAAUUUCAUUUAAGUGACUUAUUUGGUUCCAAUUUGAUUUAUUUCUUCAAAAAAAAAAAACAAAUUGUUUCACCGCUUUCGUUUAUUUCAAAUCUCUAAAAUGAAAAUCCGAUUGGUUUUCUUUUUACGUAAAUGCUUCUAUUGGUCGCGUUUAUGAUAGACUCGGCCGUGUAGCAGUAUGCUUUUGCUUUUAGUACAAUUUUGGCACUUUGUGAUGAUUCAAAUUUUAGACUCAAACCUUGGAAAAUAAAAUAUGAAAAUCCUGGUGAAGUGUACGUGUAAGACAAAUCGACACUAGCUUAUUCAUUGUCAAACAUUGUGAAUCGCUCAAUUUUCCAUUUAAUUCUUGCCAUGAAAUGUGUUAAUUAUUGAUGUUUAUUUGUUAAUUAUUGUUAUAAAGAAAUUGAUCAGUCAGUCAACGUUUUGGGGGUGCAAUUGUGCAAGUGUGAGAGUAGUGGUGGAAGAACGUUGAUUUCAUUGUCGUUGCUGCAGCAGCUGGUCUUCUUUCUCUCUCACACACACAAAUUUCACACACGCGCGCGUCUCUUUCUGUUUAUUAAUCGUUUUCCAACGCACUGUCAUCCUAUACGGUGUUGUGAGCUUAACGAACCAAUGCAAUGCACUCACACACGCAUUGCACUACCGUUGCACACGCACCACUCUCUCUCUCUCUAACACACAUGACACAUCGCUCACUUAUAUUUACCAUUUACUAUUUUUAGAUCAAAUUUUCGUUAAACUAAACUGUUCUUGAUGAAUCUUAUAGUUUAAUUAAAAUUGUCAAUAAAUUCUUUUUUUCAAAACGAAUUUAUGUCUCUAAAAAAGUUUUAAAUGACCACUUAUUCAUUAAUAUGUACUCGUUAGUACUAUUCAUUAAUAGAUCUUUAUACUAGUUUAUUAACCUCAAAGGGGGCUAGAGACCAUUUUCUGCUAUUUGAACAUUGUUAUUCGUGAAGUAGGAAAAAAUAUACUACUAUUGGAUGGACAACCAAAACAUGUGCCUCAUUAAAACCUUACUAGGAAAAAUUCAAUGGGAAAAAAUCUAGUGAAGGCAAAAGAGUACAACAUUCUUUUGCCAACCAAAAUUCCAAACCCAAAAAACUACCCAAAAUAUCAUACAAUGCAUCAAACAAAUUACCACCACCACAAACUUGACAAUUUUCAUGUGACCAGAAGAGCAAAUUGACAUUAGCUUAUUCAUUGUCAAACAUUGUGAAUCACUCAAUUUUGCAUUUAAUUCUUGCCAUGAAAUGUGUUAAUUAUUAUUAUGAAGAAAUUGAUCUAUCAGUCAACGUUUUGGGGGUGCAAUUGUGCAGGUGGUACAAUAGUGGUGGAAGAACGUUGAUUUCCUUGUCAUAGCUGCAGUUGUUGGUCUCUUUCUUUCUUUCACAGAUUUCACACAUGAGCACGUCUCUUUCUGUUUAUUAAUCUUUUUCCAACGCGCCGCUAUCCUAUACGGUGUUGCGAGCUUAACGAACCAAUGCACUGCACUCACACACGCAUUAAAGUACUGUCGCACACGCACCACUCUCUCUCUAACACACGACACAUUUCUCGCUUAUAUUUACCAUUUACUUAUUUUAGAUCAAAUUUAGGUUAAACUAAAUUGUUCUUCAUGAUUCUUAUAGUUUAAUUAAAAUUGUCAAUAAAUUCAUUUUUUCAAAACGAAUUUAUGUUUCUAAAAACGUUUUCAAUGACCACUCAUUCAUUAAUAUAUACUUGUUAGUAAUAUUCAUAAAUAGAUCUUUAUACUAGUUUAUUAACCUCAAAGGAGGCUAGAGACCAUUUUUCUGCUAUUUGACCAUUGUUCUUGAUGAAGUAGGCAAAAAUAUACUAAUAUUCGAUGAGCAGACAACCAAAACAUGUGCCUCAUUAAAACCUUACUAGGAAAAAUUCAAUGGGAAAAAAUCUAGUGAAGGCAAAAGAGUACAACAUUCUUUUGCCAACCAAAAUUCCAAACCCAAAAAACUACCCAAAAUAUCAUACAAUGCAUCAAACAAAUUACCACCACCACAAACUUGACAAUUUUCAUGUGACCAGAAGAGCAAAUUGACAUUAGCUUAUUCAUUGUCAAACAUUGUGAAUCACUCAAUUUUGCAUUUAAUUCUUGCCAUGAAAUGUGUUAAUUAUUAUUAUGAAGAAAUUGAUCUAUCAGUCAACGUUUUGGGGGUGCAAUUGUGCAGGUGGUACAAUAGUGGUGGAAGAACGUUGAUUUCCUUGUCAUAGCUGCAGUUGUUGGUCUCUUUCUUUCUUUCACAGAUUUCACACAUGAGCACGUCUCUUUCUGUUUAUUAAUCUUUUUCCAACGCGCCGCUAUCCUAUACGGUGUUGCGAGCUUAACGAACCAAUGCACUGCACUCACACACGCAUUAAAGUACUGUCGCACACGCACCACUCUCUCUCUAACACACGACACAUUUCUCGCUUAUAUUUACCAUUUACUUAUUUUAGAUCAAAUUUAGGUUAAACUAAAUUGUUCUUCAUGAUUCUUAUAGUUUAAUUAAAAUUGUCAAUAAAUUCAUUUUUUCAAAACGAAUUUAUGUUUCUAAAAACGUUUUCAAUGACCACUCAUUCAUUAAUAUAUACUUGUUAGUAAUAUUCAUAAAUAGAUCUUUAUACUAGUUUAUUAACCUCAAAGGAGGCUAGAGACCAUUUUUCUGCUAUUUGACCAUUGUUCUUGAUGAAGUAGGCAAAAAUAUACUAAUAUUCGAUGAGCAACCAAAAAAUGUGCCUCAUUAAAACCUUACUAGAAAAAAUCCAAUGAGAAAAAAACUAGUGAAGGAAAAAGAGUACAACAUUCUUUAGCCAACCAAAGUUCUAAACCAAAAAAACCACCCAAAAUAACGUAAAAUACAUCAAACAAAUUACCCCCACCACAAACUUAACCAUUUUCAUGUGACCAGCAGAGCAAAUCGACACUAGCUUAUUCAUUGUCAAACAUGGUGAAUCGCUCAAUUUUGCAUUUAACUCUUGCCAUGAAAUGUGUUAAUUAUUGAUGUUUAUUUGUUAAUUAUUGUUAUGAAGAAAUUGAUCAGCCAGUCAACGUUUUGGGGGUGCAAUUGUGUAGGUGGUACGAUAGUGGUGGAAGAACAUUGAUUUCUUUGUCGUUGUUGCAGCUGCUGGUCUCUUUUUCUCUGUCACACAGAUUUCACAAACACGCGUGUCUCUUUCUCUUUAUCAAUCUUUUUCCAACGCGCCGCCAUCCUAUAUGGUGUUGUGAGCUUAACGAACCAAUGCAAUGCACUCACACACACAUGACACAUUGCUCGCUUAUAUUUACCAUUUACUUAUUUUAGAUCAAAUUUAGGUUAAACUAAACUGUUCUUCAUGAUUCUUAUAGUUUAAUUAAAAUUGUCAAUAAAUUCUUUUUUUCAAAACGAAUUUAUGUUUCUUAAAAAGUUCUUAAUGACCUCUUAUUCAUUAAUAUAUACUCGUAAGUACUAUUCAUUAAUAGAUUUUUAUAUUAGUUUAUUAACUUCAAAGGAGACUAGAGAUCAUUUUUCUGCUAUUUGGACAUUGUUCUUCAUGAAGUAGGAAAAAAUAUACUACUAUUGGAUGAGCAACCAAAGUAUGUGCCUCAUUAAAACCUUACUAGGAAAAAUCCAAUAGGAAAAAAUCUAUGAAGGGAGAAAGAGUACAACAUUCUUUAGCCAACCAAAGUUCCAAACCAAAAAAACCACCCCAAAUAACGUAAAAUACAUCAAAUAAAUUACCACCACCACAAACUUGACAAUCUUCAUGUGACCAGCAAAGCAAAUCUACACUAACUUAUCCAUUGUCAAACAUUGUGAAUCGCUCAAUUUUGAAUUUAAUUCUUGCCAUGAAAUGUAUUAAUUAUUGAUGUUUAUUUGUUAAUUAUUGUUAUGAAGAAAUUGAUCAGUCAGUCAACGUUUUGGGGGUGCAAUUGUGCAGGUGGUCAGUUGUGGUGGAAGAACGAUUAUUUCUUUGUCGUUGCUACAAUUGCUGGUCACUUUCUCUCUCUCUCACACAGAUUUCACACAAGCGUCGUCAUCCUAUACAGUGUUGUGAGCUUAACGAACCAAUGCAAUGCACUCACACACGCAUUGUACUACGGGCGCACACACACCACUCUCUCUCUCUAACACACAUGACACAUCGCUUGCUUAUAUUUACCAUUUACUUAUUUUAGAUCAAAUUUUGGUUAAACUAAACUUUUCUUGAUGAUUCUUAUAGUUUAAUUAAAAUUGUCAAUAAAUUCUUCUUUUCAAAACGAAUUUAUGUUUCUAAAAAGUUUUAAAUGACCACUUAUUCAUUAAUAUAUACUCAUUAGCACUAUUCACUAAUAGAUCUUUAUAAUAAUUUAUUAAUCUCAAAGGAGGCUAGAUACUAUUUUCUGCUAUUUGGACAUUGUUCUUCAUAUAGUAGGCAAAAAUUUACUACUAUUGGAUGGGCAUCUAAAGAAUGUGCCUCAUUUAAACUUUACUAGGAAAAAUUUAAUGGGAAAAAAUCUAGUGAAGGGAAAAGAGUACAACAUUUUUUUGCCAAGCAAAGUUCCAAACCAAAAAAACCACCCAAAAUAACGUAAAAUACAUCAAACAAAUUACCACCCCACAAACUUGACCAUUUUCAUGUGACCAGCAAAGAAAAUUUACCAUCCUCUUUUCACGGAUCUCCAAUGCAAAAAUAUACCAAAUCAUCCUCGUUUCACUUCAUGCCAGAAUAUACCAAACCAGCCCACACAACUAAUCAACACAAUCACAUACCAAUCAAAUGUAGCCUAACAGCGAAAGCAUCAAACGUUUUCACUCACAAUAGCCACAUAUCAUAUAGACUAAAGCACAAUUAAAAAAAUGGUACUAUUACUCUGGCACCCAUGCUAGAAGGGUACUACUACUCUGGCACUGAUGCUAGAAGGGAUGUUGUAAAUUUGAUUCUUUUUCUUUUCAUUUUUCUUUUCGUAAAAGAUUUAAAAUAUUGAUUGUUCAAUAUAAAGUUUAUUGAUUUUCAAUAUUUUUAUUUAAAAGGUUGCAUUAAUCUCGGCAACUAUUUUUUUUUCCAGAUUUUUGCAAUGAUACUGAAAAAAAUACAAUAUGCUAGCACCAGUGUCGUACAGAAGUAAGUUUAAUUUUCAUUUUCAUUAAAGACUACAGAAUGUUGAGACAGAGAUUGAUUGAUUAAGGUGUUGUUCGUGGUUUUUUGGUUUUUAUUUUCCAAAUUCAAUUUUCUAAACCAAAUGUUCGGAUGAAAUGGUUCUGAAUUCAGUUUUUAGCCACUUUAGAAACAAUUUUAUUUCAACUUUUAAAAUAACAAAAAGUGGUUUCUUGAUUUUUAUUUUGUGUUUCAAAAUUUUCCCUCACCCCCUCCCCUCUCUUGAAAGUCUAAACAUAGGGUGCAUGAGUGGGCUAAAAAAUAUCUGAGAGAUAUGUUGAUCAUGUAAUUGGCAAUGGGCAAGCAUUGAGAUUUGAGGGUUUAACAUAAUUUUUCAAACAUGGAAAACUAUAAAAAAACUCAAAGUAAGAACAAAAACUAAAAUUGGUUUUUGUUUUUAAAAUUUUCAUAACUAAAAACUCACAACCACCCCUUGAUGCGAUACAAAAUUGGAAUGGGCGGGACAUAAAGGAUACUUNNNNNNNNNNNNNNNNNNNNNNNNNNNNNNNNNNNNNNNNNNNNNNNNNNNNNNNNNNNNNNNNNNNNNNNNNNNNNNNNNNNNNNNNNNNNNNNNNNNNNNNNNNNNNNNNNNNNNNNNNNNNNNNNNNNNNNNNNNNNNNNNNNNNNNNNNNNNNNNNNNNNNNNNNNNNNNNNNNNNNNNNNNNNNNNNNNNNNNNNNNNNNNNNNNNNNNNNNNNNNNNNNNNNNNNNNNNNNNNNNNNNNNNNNNNNNNNNNNNNNNNNNNNNNNNNNNNNNNNNNNNNNNNNNNNNNNNNNNNNNNNNNNNNNNNNNNNNNNNNNNNNNNNNNNNNNNNNNNNNNNNNNNNNNNNNNNNNNNNNNNNNNNNNNNNNNNNNNNNNNNNNNNNNNNNNNNNNNNNNNNNNNNNNNNNNNNNNNNNNNNNNNNNNNNNNNNNNNNNNNNNNNNNNNNNNNNNNNNNNNNNNNNNNNNNNNNNNNNNNNNNNNNNNNNNNNNNNNNNNNNNNNNNNNNNNNNNNNNNNNNNNNNNNNNNNNNNNNNNNNNNNNNNNNNNNNNNNNNNNNNNNNNNNNNNNNNNNNNNNNNNNNNNNNNNNNNNNNNNNNNNNNNNNNNNNNNNNNNNNNNNNNNNNNNNNNNNNNNNNNNNNNNNNNNNNNNNNNNNNNNNNNNNNNNNNNNNNNNNNNNNNNNNNNNNNNNNNNNNNNNNNNNNNNNNNNNNNNNNNNNNNNNNNNNNNNNNNNNNNNNNNNNNNNNNNNNNNNNNNNNNNNNNNNNNNNNNNNNNNNNNNNNNNNNNNNNNNNNNNNNNNNNNNNNNNNNNNNNNNNNNNNNNNNNNNNNNNNNNNNNNNNNNNNNNNNNNNNNNNNNNNNNNNNNNNNNNNNNNNNNNNNNNNNNNNNNNNNNNNNNNNNNNNNNNNNNNNNNNNNNNNNNNNNNNNNNNNNNNNNNNNNNNNNNNNNNNNNNNNNNNNNNNNNNNNNNNNNNNNNNNNNNNNNNNNNNNNNNNNUUGAAAUAUAUAUAUAUAUAUAUAUAUAUUAGAAGAUUAGAAAUUUAGAAUGGACAAGUUGUCAUCAUAUAUUAUUGCUCUUGACGUGUUUCAAAGGAAGAACCACGGAUACUUCUAAAAAGUUUUACAAAAUUCAACCCGUUCACAUUUAGACACGACGCAAAUCCACCUCAUAACAUAUAAUUUCAUAAAAUAUUCUAACACUUUUUUUUAAAAUUACAGGAAAUGGAAGAUUAUAAAAGUUACAGGAAGUAAUUAGUGUGAUUUCCAUGGUAAACACUGCAGGUUAUUGCAAGAUUCGGUCCAAGAACUUGUGCAGCUACCUCCAACUCCAUCACAACACUUGCAAACAACUCCAAGCGUUGCAAAAAUCUUUGAGUACCCUGCAAUUAUAUCACAUAUACAGAACAAGAUGCACACAAUGAAAUAAUUAGAGAUACGUUCCAUCAUUAUAAAACAGAUCUUGUGGAAAAGGAGGAGAAUUUUUUUGAAUAGUAAUUAUGAAUAUUAAUUACCUUGAUUAGAUACUAAGGAAAGUGUUCUUGCUUCUAUAACUGAUGGUUUCUCAGUGACUAAAACAACCAUGAUGAUCACCAGCAUAAGCACCUGAGGCUUCUGCAUACCCAUGCUGAGUUCUCUGGUCCGAACUCUUUUUGUGCUUCUUCGAUGAGCCUCUGAAACCUCGAGGUUCAAGAGCUAUAGAGAACAGAAGAGUUGGGAGCUUUAAAGGAAUGAACUUGCGAUUGGGGGGAGUUGCCUAGAAAGUAUGUGAGCCUCAUGAUUGUUAUUACUUCUUUUUUUUUUUUUUUCUAAAAAACGACGGAAUGAUUAUAUUAAAAUUUAAAAGCCUCGAGAACAAACUUUCUUUUUAUUAAGAAGUCUCACAUUAACUAAAGAUAUAUUAAGAUAUGUUUUAUAAACGGUGAACAACCCUAAAUUCUCAAGCUAUCUUUUCAGUUGAGUUAUGUUUCAUAAAUUCUAUAUUAGUAUUAUCUAUCGUGCACGGUUGUUUACACUAAUUUUUUUUGUAAACAAACAAUUUACAAUUCUUGGAUUAGAAGCAAGUUUGAUAUCCUCGAAUGACUACUCAAGUGGUAAAAAUUAGGAAAAUAUAUGUUGGGUGGAGAGGUUCAAAAAUCAAAUUCUAAAUAAUGCAAUUUAUCUUUUUAAUUUGAAAAAAAAAAUGUCCGAUUGUGAGUUAUUUAAUGAAUACAGUUUUUGAAUUUUGAUCCAUAAACUUUAACAUAUACAAAGCAUAAAACUUAAAAAUAUGGGAACCGACCCAUAAAAGAACUGAAACGAGAAAAAUUACGAAAACAUAAACAUAUGAAACAAAAUUGCACUAAAGCAUAACAUUACAUGAAUAAGAAACGGAUUUAGCAAAUGCAUACUCAACUAAAUCCCAGAAUCACUGUGUAGUCACAGUGAUUUGGACCUUUUAAGCGUAAUUGGGCAUAUGAGAGGACUAAUUCAAAUCUUCUAUCCUCUUUCUUUAUGUUGCUAUUUUUCAUGCCACGUGAUGAAGAUAUUUAUAUUAAUUUUUUAUUUAUUUAUUGGGAAUCUUAGUCCCUAUAAUUAGAAUAUUUUAACUAAUAAAAGUAUUGUCCGUCUCUCUUGGUUCGUAAUAUGUUUUUAUUUUCUCAAUAACUGCAUUUUAAUAAAGAAUAGAGGAUGAGCUGGCUGGAAAGAUGGGAAGAGAGAGCAUGGAACACAUUUUCCACUCUAUUACAUCUCUUUCGCGACACGAAGUUGGAUACGCCUUUUUCCUUAUUCUAACAUUUUCACUUCCGAGUGCUAUUGUAAAAGUGUGAACACCAAACUUAAUUAAAGUGCUUUGCAACGUUAUUCAUUUUCACCUCAUGUUUUUCCACUCAAUUUUAUUUUUAUCUCUCUCAUCACUUUCUGAUAUAUUAUUUAUCACAUCUCAUUAUUUUUAUCUUCCCUCCCCUUCUUUUCCGUAUCUAGUGGUGUUAACACAACAUUAUCAAAUUGCUUUAGUGUUCCAUACUUUUGUCCUCUAGCUCUCUUGAUUUUGAAGAUUUGCUAGUGCACAGAACACGGUGAGUCAUUGAGGGGAUACUACUAGUCUACUAGAGAUAAUAUAAUAUUAAAAAAAAGUAUAAUAAUAUAUAUAUUUUUUCCCGUAGAUAUAUAAAGGUUUUAGUCCUUGAAUUUAAAAUGUGUAGAUUCCCUAUAUAUUUUAAAUGCCACAUGGAAUGCUUAAUUGGAAUUCCAUUUAGUUUUUUUUUCAAGGAUUUCCAUUUAGUUUAGAUGAAAACACUAUUUAGAUUUUCAUUUUUCUUUGGUACAUCGGAAUUUAAAUUGCACCCGCCAGGGAUUGAACCCUGAACCUUCUCCUCCUAACCCAAAUGUCCCUCAGCUCUUACCACUUGAGCUAUCAUUCCGGGACAAUUUAGAUUUCCAUUUGGUUCAAUGAAAAACAAGUCACAAUUUUGGAGGGAUGGAAAACAAAAAACAAUUUAUAUGGGGCAAAUUAAAAAAUGGGAACUUAUUUAAGCCUAAGGCUAUGUUUGGCAUGUCAUUUCAGCUAGCUUAUAGCUUAUUUGACUAGCUUAAAGCUUAUUUGACUAGCUUAAAAGCUCUUCAAAAGUGUUUGGUGAANNNNNNNNNNNNNNNNNNNNNNNNNNNNNNNNNNNNNNNNNNNNNNNNNNNNNNNNNNNNNNNNNNNNNNNNNNNNNNNNNNNNNNNNNNNNNNNNNNNNNNNNNNNNNNNNNNNNNNNNNNNNNNNNNNNNGAUUGGCACAUUAAUGCUAGAGAUAAAAAAAAAAACGAACAAAAAUUCAGGGAUGAAAUCUAUAUAAAUAGAUACUAUAAAGAUGAAAUCUUAUUUAAACUAAAAUGUAUAACUAAAUCCUUAAAUUUCAACAAAUAUACAAUCAAUCUACUAUCAUAUCUCCAAAACCAAAACCACCUGAUGUGCAUGGUAUUUCGAUAUGUUUCACUUCUACGUUUACAUUGAGAUUGUAUUAAUGGUCCAAAUCAACUUCUUCAGGGUGCUAUAGUGAUGGAUAACCGAAUAACAAUAGGAUUGACCAGAUCCCUCAAUGUUUUCUUCCCUUGAGAAAAGAAAUAUUGACAAAACCAAGAAAUGAAAACAGCAACAAGAAGAAAAGGAACGUGAAGAAAUGUGGUCAUUUUGCUAAAACUAUAUAUAAUCUGAAUCAGCAUCUCUACGGAAAUGUUGCAAAUCUGGAUGAGUAUCAUUUCCUGGCCUCCGAGGAUUCCUGCAAAAACAGGAUGAGAAGAUGUCAUAACUUUUGAAAAACUGAAGUCUAAGAUCCAUUUCCUGGUUAUUUGGUCACCAGUUCUUUCACCUCAUCAAACAUAUAGUAUUUUAUAAUGAAACCUCACCUGCAUCUAUGAAUUUUUUUCUUAUUAUUAAAUGAAUUCCUAAAACAAAUGAUGCAAGAGUGACGUUAAAAAUGUGAUGUAAAACUCUAUCUAUACCUGUUAUUAAAUAUCCUGCCACAUAUAUACAAAGAUCUAUGAAUCAAUUUAACCAAAUAAGAAGAGACCUCAAAUUAAGUCUAAGCAUAACAGACUUACCAGCUAAACAUAAUGUAAGCCUUAAUGCAUUAGCCAACAAUUGAAAUCAGUGGCUUCAAGAUCAAUUCAUACAGGUAACGGUAGAAAAGAUGUACUUGGAAUGAAAAAUUAUCCUUAAUUUUAUUUCCGUUUUUUAUUUUCAGUUUUUUUUCUUGUAGCUUCAUCACUAUAACAUUAGUCCAAGUUCAGACUUGCAGCGUUUUUCAAUUUCAACAUCCUAAGUUAACAGCAUGCUUAAAAAUAGAAUGAUGAAGAAAAAAAAAGAAAAUACAAAUAAAAAGCAUAUGAAGUUAUAAACAUUAUGCCAUUACUGGCUUUCCACCAUACCUUGCAAAUCUGUUGGGUUCAAACCCAGGAAUGCCAGGAGGUCCAUAGGGAUCAAAUCGAGCACCCGGAGGAACACCCCUAUUCAGAUAGAUUCAUAGUUAGCUUAGCUAUAUGAUUAACAAUUAGCAACAGGCAACAGUCAUAGGACAGUUAAAGGCAAAAGCCACCAUUAGGCACUUAACACCUUAAGGCAAUAGGCACCAAAAGCCACUUAACACCAGUGAUAAAACGGUAGAAAAAUUACGCUGGCUUUCCUUUGAACUUAUUUUUAUGAGCAGUGCUAAAAAGUAACAACACACUACUGAAUACACGUUUUUGCCAUUAGAAUGGUGAAGUAAAAGUAUAAUUAAUAUUUUAAGAGUUUCUUGGUAAAAAAAUAAAAUUAAGGUAUUUAUUUUAAAUAAGAAACUGGUAACAAUUCUGCAGGUUGUGACACAAAGCAUAAGGCAUAUAGAAUAUGGAUUUGGCUCUUCUAAAAAUGGUAGUGUUUUUGGUGGCUGAUGUUUGUCAAAGUUGCUAUAUAAAACACUGAAUUUUAUGGACUGUGGGAUCUAUCAACCCAAACUACCCAUUAAUCAAUCUCUCUCAGAAAAAAAGCACCAGACCCAUCCUUUCUCUAGCCCUAACACCUAAGGUGCAACUUGUUACUUGGGGUUGUGGUUCCUUAAACUACACUUACCAGACAAAGAGCAAUGAUGACAAGCAAGAAAUGUAUAAAACUUACGGCAAUCCUCCGGGAAAACCAGGUCCUCCGGGAAAACCAGGUCCUCCACCAACACCACCAAACCAACGGGGGUCAUUAGGCCCUGCUUUCAAGUGUUGAACUCAGUAUCAGCUAUUAUGAUUCAGCAAUAAAUACGCUUACAUAAAACUAUUGGAACGUGUAAAACAUACCUACAUACAUGCUCCCACCAAUGCUAGGACCACUGAAAUCCAAUGAGAGAAGUUUCAAAGGAUAAUAAGAAAUAUGAAAACAGAGAAUUGAUAAUUGUUUUAGGAGACUGAUAAAGCAAUGCAAUGCUUUACCUUGAAGGAAACACACCAGCAGGAGGCCCAGGGACAAGAUCACUACCAGACCCAAUGGGAACCGGAGGGAAUACACUUUUGAUUAAAGCAAAACAGAAUAAAAAACUCAAUUAAUUAGUACAGAAGAGAAAAAAGCACGUAAUGCAGGGCAAAUUAAAGCGAGGGAUCAGAAUCAUAAAGACAGGAUUGCAUACAGGAAACUGAUUGUCCCAUUAAGCCAAUGAGUAUGUCAGUUGCAAAGAGAAUCAGCAUAAAUAGCUUUGAUGAAGACUAUACAGAUCAUAAAAUAGAAAUAUACUCAUGAGGUUAAGUAACAGUAAAUCAUUCCUCUCGACAAGGUGGGAACAAAUAGGGGAAUUCAACAUUUCCAAAGACUGCUUACAUUAGCCAUGACAAGUUAUGUUCCAUACUCAAUUCACAAUGAAGACAUUCAACUAUGAUCAUGAAAUACAAAGAUUAAGAUGGUUUCAUAGUUAGCCGCAUAGGUAACCGUAACACACACAUACUCAUCCAUCACAAACCCUUCCAUGCCCCAGCAACAUAAACACAAACACACACAAUGACACAAACAGCCUCCAUAAUUUCCAAGUAUAACUACAAACUAUCUAAUGCCCUUAUAUUUCAAUCACUGAACUUAAUGCUCAGCUCGUUAUAGUGAGUGUGUGCAAAAUCACAAAUUGGACAAUUAGUUAACUGAGCAGUGUCAAAACGUGUUCAAUAAAUUUCAUUGAAACAGUGAAACAACAUAGCAAUAUGAAAUCCUUACCCAGAAGGAUGAUAAGGAGGACCAGCGGGUUCACCAAAUCCAGCAACAGGAUCAGAUAUCUCUUGCCUUGUUCUGUCACUUGUUUCUGAGCUGUAAAGAAAAUAAAAAAACAAUUUUGCAAAGAGGAUUCCCUUUCAUAAAAACCCACGACAAAAACUUCAUAUAUCAAGAGUGCCACACUGGUUCAACACAAAAACUAAAACAAGGGCCAAAUUUCUCAUACGGCAUUCUUAUAAUAUGAACUGCACAAGAAGCUGCACAUAAAUCCUUCAAAAUCUUUAAUCACUAUACAACCAGCUCAUCUCUGAAUACUCUACAACUAACAAAUAUUAUCUAAGAAAUUAGAAGAGCUAUACAAGAUAAGAAUUACCAUCUGUAAUUAUAAACAUAAAAAAGGUUAUCAUCUAGAUAAAAAUAUACAACAUGGACACGUUUAGAAAGCAAGUACCAAGUACCAACAACCUGACUAGUAUUUUGAAUUGUAUAUGCUUCAUUGAUUUAUCUCAAAAAGCUAUAUAAGGUUUACCUUUUAGUAGACGAGCUAGCAUUGGCGGAAGAACCAUCUAACUUUGACAAGAUCUCAGAGUCUAUUCUCUUCACCAGCUUCUCAAAAUUCUUGAAAUGCUGAGAAUAAUUGCUUCCCCCAUCUUCUCCAGCAUAGUCCCCAACACUACACAUAAAAAAAAUUAUAAAAAAAAAACUCAAAUCCCAUUGUGAACACAAUUCAACACAACCCAAUUGCAAAAAACCCGAAAAUUUCCAAUUGAACAAAUAAAAAAUAUCAAAAAUAAAAUCAUUUACAGCAUUUUGAAAAAAUAGCAAACUCAGUAACCCCAUUAUCCAAAUUAGCAUAAAAUGGAAACAAUUACUUGAUCUCAAGAUGAAGAGGGUUCGAAAAUCCAUGAGACAAAGCAUGAACGAGCAAUUUGUCGUUGAUGACGAGGCACUUGACAAGCACUUUGUUCUUGUUGGAAGGCUUUUCAGGGUUGGCAUAGACGAACGUGUACUCGUCGAUUAACUCAUUCCAUUGGUCAAUGGAUACCUCAUCUACACAGAAAAUAAACAUCGAAAAUGAAGCAAACAAUUAAACUAGAAGAAGAAGAAGAAGAAGCAUGAUUUAGGGUUUUGUUGUUAGCACCCACCAUUGGAGGGAUUGGAAAGCGCAGUGUCGGAGAGGGCUUGGGGACCGGUGGCGGUGAGAACAUAGCCGGAGGCGAGGAAGGAGGAGUGAACGGCGAAGGCGAUUUUGUCGUUGUGGUUGCGGAACGUUGGCCUCGCCGCUCUGAUCACCGCUAGCACCGACUUAUCACUCGCCAUCGUCAACGUCAGUGUCGUUUCGAACAAGAAUAGAUAGUGUGUGCGAAAGAAAAAUGACUCUAUUCUAUGCUUCGCGGUUCUGCGCACUUCUUAUAGUCCGUAGUAGUUUCAAGAAUCUGGGACUCAGACCUCAGGGAUUUGGGUUUGGCACCCUACCCUUUAGGCUACGCGCCCCAGCCUUUUUUUUUAUCCCAAAAGUAUCCAUCGGUAAAUGAUUUACCGAUAUAAAUAUACACAUCGGUUAAUCAUUAACCGUUAUUUUUCCUCUGUAUAAACACCUUCAUCUCAUUAACAGAACACGAAGAACAAUAUCGGUUAAUCAUUAACUGAUUUCUAUAUUUAUAUCGGUUAAUCAUUUACCGUUUCCAUCGGUAAAUGAUUUACCGAUAUAAAUAUACACAUCGGUUAAUCAUUCGACGGCAACGCCGUUAAGUCUUCCAAUCAUAGACCUCUCUUCACCUGAUCGUAUUUCCACAGCCAAUUCCAUUCGCCAGGUUUUCAAUUCAUAGUUUCAUACCUUUUUUUUUUCUCUUAGUUCUCUGCUUAUUUGUGUGUGUGUGACACUUUAAUAUAUCGUACCAAUUGAAUUGAUCAUAUAGGCUUGCAUUGAGCAUGGUUUCUUUUACAUUGUGAACCACGGUUUGGACAACGAGUUUGUGAGGGAAGUGUUUGAUCACAGUGCCAAGUUCUUCUCACUUCCACUCCAACACAAAAUGAACUUAGCUCGCAAAGAAUACAGAGGUUAUUCUCCUCUCUAUGCCGAGAAGCUUGAUCCUACUUCUCUCUCCAAAGGUAUGUUAUAUAUAUUCCUCUUUUUUCUUUCUUAGUUUCAGAAAUUGUUUUGGCUGAAAUAUCUAAAGCCAAUGUAUAAUCAAAAAUGAAAAAUGAGCUUAACUUGAUCAUUCCUUAAAACCAGGUGAUCCUAAAGAGAGCUAUUACGUUGGUCCUUUAGCGGAUACCGCAAGUUUGAAUCAAUGGCCUUCUGAGGGUAUGGCUUUAAUUUCCUUUGUGGGUGUGUAUGCACACUAAUUAAUUUGCGCGCUUGGUUCGUUUUUACUUGAGCUUAACUUGAGAUGUUUUCUGGCAAGGACACUGCAGAAUUACUGCCAAAUUGGAGACCUACAAUGGAAUCCUUAUAUUGGAAAGAACUGUAAGUUUUAUGAGCCCUCAAUUUUAUUUUUCUAUAUGUAAUAAAAUAUAUACUAUGCGUUGUUAGUUCUUACAUAUUGUCUUCGCCCUUGAUUAUGGUGCUGAAUGAGCUUUUGUCCCUUGCUUCACUCCCUUGGAGCAUUUCUUUCAAGCAUAUACCACGAGAGACAAACUCUUGUGCUGAUUGGUUAGCCUCCUUCGGGUUACGUACGCAGUGUACUCUUAGGAUUUGGGCUAUUCCUCUUUAGAGUUUUGUUAUGCUUAUCUCGGAUAAUCUGUCUUGUGCUCCCUCUGGGUAGUGUUUGUUAUUUUAAUUUCCUUUUGUACCAAGAAAAAAUAGUGGCAAAUAUAAGUUACAACACCUGCUGUUCUUUUAUGCUUUUACUUUUGUUUUGUUCAAUAUCGUGCCAAACUACAUUAUUUACAGAAGAGUUGUUUCCUCUGUAAAUUUCACAAAUCAACGGGACAGGAAGGUUUCGCUGCCUGUGUACUUAUGAAAACUUUAUCCAUGCAUCUUUUUGUUGUGCCUAAGGGUGCUUGUGUGUUCUAUAUUCUGAAGUAGAGGUACUUUUCGUUUGUUCUCUCUUGUGAAUAUUCUUCUAAUCUGCCACAGGGGAGCAGGAAAAGAGCUUCUGUCUCUAAUUGCCCUGUCAUUGAAUCUGGAUGAAGAUUACUUUGAGAAGAUAGGUGCCAUAAGAAAACCAUCAGCUUUUCUUCGCCUUCUGCACUAUCCAGGUUUAUUAGCAUUCUUAUGCCUUUAAGGACCUUGUUUAAGCAAACAAUGCCAAACCAGUAAAUUUAUGCUAUGCAUGUUAACAAUCUUCAAAUAUUGUCUUCCUUGGCUCGUAGCUGAUUUUUUAUAUUUUAUUUAUUGUAAUUUCCUGUUCAAUCUGCAUGCUAGAAAAGGGAACUUAUUGUCUUUAAUUUCAAGUAUUAAUUUUUAUGCUUGAACUAUACCAUACAUGACUUGGUUCAUUAGAUCAGAGAAACUGAUGUUUUAUUUAUACAACUUUGAUCUCUAGAGUACAAAUAUUCAUAGAUUUUUUUUUGAAAGCUAAAUAUUUAUUCAAUAGAGUAUUCAUAGAUACAAGGUACGGUGGAAAAGAGGGAAUAGAUUUCUAAAAAGUAAAAGGAUUGUCCUAAAUCUAACCGAUGAAAUGACAGUCAAUUUGAAUAAGCUUAGUUAGUUCAGGAAAGGCUAGAUGGGGGGCAAUAUGCAAGGUCACUUGAUUAUCACAAAUGAGAUUCGUAGAACUUACUUUACAAAACAGAUUCAUGGAGAAGCUGUUUCAAGCAUACAUGUGGUGAGACUGAGAAUCAUCGCUCUAUAUAAUGCCAUUGUACUAGACUUGGCAACAACAUUCUAUUUCUUUAUUAUGAAAUAAGAUUAAAUCCAAUGAGAACACAAUAGCUUGUAGUCAAACAUCUUCACUUAGGUAACUUACCUGGUCAGCAUAUGUGUAUCCAACAGUAUCUGAGUGGUAUCUAUCUGCACAUACUAAACCCUUUCCAAGAUAUACUUAAAAUUCUCACAUCACCCCAUAACAUUCACAUGGAGAGUUAAGAAAUUGGUUGACCACACUAAUCGUAAAUGAAAUGUUUGACCGGGUCAUGACUUCCCAACUAAUCUUUGAUACCUCCCAGGACUUGGAUAAGGCUCCCCCCUGGUUUUGAAGAAGUGGAACAUUUGGGCCCAUAUUUGCAUCAACUAGCUUGUAGUCCAACAUCCCGGUUUCUUCCAAAAUAUCCAAGAUGUAUUUUCUCUAUGAUACAAUAAUACCUCUUUUGGACUGAGUUAACUCAUUUCUAAGUACCGCAUCCAGCAAAGUUCUUAGUCUGAAAGGAUUAGCUAGGUGCUGUUUGAGCUUCCCCAUACCAUCCUGAUAUUUACCAGUAAUAAAAUUCCCAUCUACAUAGGUUAGGAGAAGAUAGUUUGUAGAAUACUAAGUGAUCUACCUGACUGCCUCCCUCCCAAUCAUGUCAAACUGUUGAGGAACUGUAGAAAAUGUCCUAAGUCCUAACUAUGUUGGAGGAGACAACUUAAGGCUAUAUAGAGCUUUAUGAAGGUGGCAUACAUAACCAUAAGACUACCCCUGAACAAUAAACCCAUGUCGUUCCUCCAUAUAAAUCUCCUCUAGCAGAUCAUCAUGCAGAAAGACAUUCUUAAUGGCCAACUGGUAUAAAGGCAUGUAGAAAGUGAUGAAGAGAGAAAAAGAAAACUGAAUUGUAUUCAUUGACUUUCUUAAAAAGAUACAAAGCUAUAUGUAUUUAUAUCUGAAUUGAUAUUAACAAACUCUAACAAUUAUUACAGUUUUAUUCUAACUAACCUUUCCUAAUCAACAGGUUUGGCAGCUGUGCAUAACAAACAAAAGCAGAAUAAUGACAACUAUAACAAGAAAACAUGGAAAGAGUAAAAUAAAUGCAUAUACACGCCUAUCUUGUACUCAAAUAUUUCUCCUCUCAAGCUCAAGAUGAGUGUGAAAGUAAUCUAGAGUCACCCACCUUGAGCUUGGAUCAAAGAGUAUGAAAUUUUAAUGUAGGAAGAGGCUUUGUCAAGGCAUCAACUAAUUGCUGAAUGCUUAAUUAUCGAUUGAGAACCUUUUCUAUGACAAAAAAUAAGUCGAACUCAAGAUGCUUUGUCCGAGCAUGAAGAACCGGAUUGUGAGUAAGGGAGAAAGCACUUUAGCUGUCACAAAAUAAGAGAAGAUCAGAACUCUCCAGUCAUCACUUUUAGUUUUUGUUAUAAGGUUUGACCCAUAACAUGUUAGCUGUAAGCUGAGCUAGGCUGCGAUACCCAGAUUCAUAGCUGCUGCGAGUAACUAUUAAUUGCUUGGGAGACCAUUAUGUAAUUAAAUUGGGUCCAGGAAAAUACAGGCUCUGAAGUAGACCUUCUAUCAUUUAACACUAGCUAAGAAUUACUCUCUUACCCAACUAAUACUGGCUCUCAGCCCCCUGAUUAACAGGUCGAGGCCCAUUAAUUCUUGCUACCAUAUUCCUUCUACGACUCCUUGUUAAUAGGUGGUCUAACUGUAAUUCUAUCAUAUAUUGGUUCAAGUUACAAUGGUAAUGAGGGAAAAAAUCAUCAUAAAUAUUGGAAAUAUGAUUAUAAUACCCUGAGUUUAAGUAGACCUCUUAUAUUAGUGAUGUACAUAAUAUCAUAUCAAAUCACAUAUAAUUAGAUUGCACAUAAUCUCAACAGUGACAGUAGUCCAAAUGCCAAAUAUAAAUACAAAAUGCAAUAUAUUUAAUGAAUUAUAUUUGUAUGGUAUACUAAUAAUGUGUCUGUUUAUUUUUGCACACACUCUUUUGUAGUUGCUCAGUUGUAGCUAGACUUGAGUUAAAAAACUAAUUCUAAUAGCAUUCUAUGAAGCACGGACUCGGACACGGACACGGGCGGGAACGCCGACACGGCAAAACUCCAAAAAAUAGGAUACGGGGACACGGCUAAUAUAUAUAUAUAUAUAUAUAUAUAUAUAUAUAUAUAUAUAUAUAUUAAAAAAAGCAACAUGAAAAUUUGUUCGCAAAAUUAAGAGAACAUUAGACAAGUAAAGGUUUAUAUAUAACUUUCCCGAAGUAUCAAGAACAUGUAUUGAUAAAGGGGAGCCUUGGGAACAAAGUUUUUCCUAGUAAUCUAAUAACCAACAAGGAGCAAAGGAAAAUAAAAACACAAAAAAGGAAUUAACAAAUCUAAAACAGUAGCAGUAAAACACAGACCAAGAAAAGCAAGGAAGAAGCACCAAGGAGCUUCAAAACACAAAGAGUAUGUGCUUCAAACAUUCUCAAAGUUAAAACACAAGUUAAUGUCAUUACAAUUAAAAACUUAAAACUUCAAUCUUAUGUCAAUGAGCUUCACCAAAAAGAAGGAAGAUGAAAGGCUCACACUAAAGAGAAGACCACAAAGAAGCACGUCGAUGGAGAGAGGACGAUCGCCGCCGUCGUUGGCUGAGGAAGAACAACCGCCGCCGUCGCUGGCGGAGGAAGAAGAUGAAACUGUCGUUCGUUUGCAGAAGAAGAUGAAGCGUAAACGUGAACUUUGUACGUUCUGUUUGUGUGUGUUAUGAGCUUUUGAUAGGGUUUAAUUGAUUUUUAAUUAGAUAAAGUUUGUUUUUUUUUGUAUAAAGAUAAAGUUUGUUUGACUUUUAAUUUAUUUAUUUUUAAAUCAAAAAAUAAUAAAAAAAUGACACAAGUGUCCUAUAUAUGUGUCCAGCCAUAAAGGUGUGUCGGCUCAUUCUACAAGCCGUGUCUCAGCCGUGUCCGAGCCGAGAAAAAAUAAUUUAAUAUUCAGACAUGUCGCAGACGUGUCCGACACGUGUCGGUCACGUGUCCGUGUCUUCCGCGUGUCCGACACGCGGACACGCCUCUGUUCUCACGUGUCCGUGUUUCCUAGAUAGCAUUUGAAGUUGUGUUUUAUAUUAUAUUCUGAAGUUCUUUCUAUUGUUCUAUUAGCAUGGAUAAGUUUUUGAAACCAAUUAUCCUAUGUAACCCUUGGCAGUUGAUAAUAAUUAAUAAGUCUUCCAAUUAUAUUAGGUGAAAUGGGAUCUGGUGAAGAGAUAUGUGGUGCCUCUGCUCAUUCAGAUUAUGGCAUGAUCACUCUCCUAGUGACUGACGGUGUUCCAGGACUACAGGUCCUCUCUAACUCCCUUAUUUAUAAUAUUUCCCCUCUCUAACUAACUAACUAACUAACUGGCUAUUUAACUAACCAAGAAAGGGGUUACCUAUUAUCUUCGCUUUGUAUACUUUCUGUUCUAAUGUUUAGGUUGCAAGUCCUAUUAGAGAAAGAAAAUGGAGUUGAACUUCUUACAAGCUGGGACUCAAUCUCCCGUUUAUCUGCACUCUGGUUGCGAACCAGAAUAGGACUAAAAACGAAAGAUAGGAAAGUAGGAAACAAUCCCUGGAAUGGAUACUCUUGACCCAUAUGAGAGUCACCUCUCCCUAGCCUUUCCUCAAAUACUUCUCUGCCCCUCAUUCUCUCUCUCCUCUUCCUUUAACAGUAUCAUUCUUCCCCUUUUUACACAUGCAUCUUGAAUCUUCCUCUUUACACUUACCCUUUGUUUAUAUGGCAUGCUCCUUAGGGCAUAAAUCCCCUACUCUUCUUAUUCCUCCUUUAAUACACCCUUACUUGAAGCUUUCUCUCCUCUAUAUAUUAGGACAAUAUCAUAUUGGCGUGUAAGUUUUUUUUAAGUUUUGUACUAUUUAUAUAAUCAAUGACUUCUUCAUAUUCUCAAAGAUCUGCAAGGAUAAGUUCAAACAACCUCAAGUCUGGGAGGAUGUGGCUCAUGUGGAAGGGUGAGUUCAUGAUUAGGGAAUUUAUAAAUGAUAUAUCUCUAUUUUUUUUCUAGUUCAAUCUCAACUGAGUUAUAUUAUCUACAGAUUCUACAUGAUAGAGUCAUUAACAGUUUCACAGUUUAUAUUCUUUUCCUUCCGAAUGAUAGUUGUUUCCAAUUUGCUGCAGGGCACUAAUUGUGAAUAUUGGGGACUUAAUGGAGAGGUGGACAAAUUGUAUAUACCGGUAAAAUCCAUCAUCCAACAACUUCAGAGCUAUUUGUUUUGUUUAUUUUACUAAUAGGAGAUGUUCAAGAAAUUUUCCAAUACAGUGGAUUAUUUGAAUAUUUAAGCAAGGUCUUAGUGUACUGGUAUAUAUAAUUCUGAGUUUCUGUCAUUAUUCUUGCAGGUCAACACUUCACAGGGUUAUGCCAACGGGAAAAGAACGCUAUUCUGUAAUUAUUAGUAACAUCCUUAUUUUAUUUUUUUAUUCUGUUUCCAUUUUAUUCCUAAAUGAUAGCUUAUGAUGAGUGCUUGACUAUUUAUUUCAACGGUAGGGGAAAAUGGAUUGAAUUCAUACUUUUCUAUUU